rnacentral:hammerhead_ribozyme from 1 species
AUCCAGUUGACGAGUCCCAAAUAGGAGGAAACGCAAGUCCUGGAU